GGAAAGGGGUCGGCAGGUGAAAAGGAGAGGUGCGGGUGAUGCGAACGCCGAAGAAGGCGCCGACGAGGAGACCUCUAUAGAGGGAGGACACGCGGCCGCCGAUCUAUCGGACAGCUCCAAUCGCCUCGUCGACGGGGCUUUGCCCACCACGGCCCUCACGUCCAAGAAAUCACGGGGUUAGCGUCACUUGAUGUGCCGCCUGCACAAACCUCCAAAGGAUCUAUCAGAACGGCUAUUCCUUCCCAAUUCUUUGCAGAAGGAUCUCAUUCAUGCAUACGAGUUUUACAAUGAGAAUCUUCUUCUAGACGAGAUGUCGAAUGGACAGCGAGUUCGACUGCUUGUUGCUGCCAAACCAAGAAUAAUGUCGUUGUUUCGUAAGUACUUGUAUCUUCCAUGUCCCCAUAUUUCGUGUUGAUGGCCUGUCGUCGUUCCUACAUAUUCAAAAAAUGUCUUUGUCGGAGCGGAUGCGCCAUUACUAUUUAUUCGUUGGCAGAUUAGUGUUGUGUUGGGUCCAGCCCAUAUGUGGGCUUGGAUAAAUUGGGCCUAUUGAACCCAAAUCACUAAUUAAGGUGAAGUAAGGCAAAUUAGGGUAUGCAGGGAAAAGAAAAACGCAGAGCAGCAUGCAGUGUACGUGCACAGUGAACAGCGACGGCAUGCAGAGAGAGAAAUAGAGAGAGAAAGUAAGGUUUCUGAGUUUUUCUGCUUGACGAUCGGUGGCCAAACGUUGUCAGUUUCGGCCCAAAUUUUAUGUGGAGAAUCCUUGCAGCAAACUCUACAAUCCUAACGGUGUUGAUCUGCAGUUUAUCCUCUCUAAGGUACUUUCCUGCGAUAUCCACUUUGUGAGACAUAGAAUUCUCUUUGGAGGAGAUCCACUUAUGUGAUGAAGAUAUGGUAUUCUUGAGCCAAGAUCUAUGUUCUUGAUGUUAUUCUGAUCCUCUAGUUAUUCUAGAGAAGACCUACUGUAAACCUGUUAUCAUCAUUAUUGAUAGUGGAAGUUUGAGAUGGACUACGGUCCCGUGGUUUUUCCCACAUUGGGUUUUCCACGUUAAA